rnacentral:rRNA from 1 species
UGCAGUCGAACGGUGAUAGCAUAUCAUAGUGGCGCACGGGUGCGUAACACGUAUGCAACCUACCUUAUACUGAGGGAUAGCCUUUCGAAAGGGAGAUUAAUACCUCAUAACACAUUGAACUGGCAUCAGUUUAUUGUUAAAGAUUUAUUGGUAUAAGAUGGGCAUGCGUCCAAUUAGUUAGUUGGCGAGGUAACGGCUCACCAAGACGAUGAUUGGUAGGGGAACUGAGAGGUUAAUCCCCCACACUGGCACUGAGAUACGGGCCAGACUCCUACGGGAGGCAGCAGUAGGGAAUAUUGGGCAAUGGAGGCAACUCUGACCCAGCCAUGCCGCGUGCAGGAAGAAGGCGUUAUGCGUUGUAAACUGCUUUUAUAUAGGAAGAAAUAGACCUUGCGAGGUAAGUUGACGGUACUAUAUGGAUAAGCACCGGCUAACUCCGUGCCAGCAGCCGCGGUAAUACGGAGGGUGCAAGCGUUGUCCGGAUUUAUUGGGUUUAAAGGGUGCGUAGGCGGUUUAUUAAGUCAGUGGUGAAAGACGGUCGCUCAACGAUUGCAGUGCCAUUGAUACUGGUAGACUUGAGUGGGAUUGAGGUAGCUGGAAUGGAUAGUGUAGCGGUGAAAUGCAUA